rnacentral:rRNA from 1 species
AGAAGCUCCCAAGGGUAUGGCUGUUCGCCAUUUAAAGCGGUACGCGAGCUGGGUUCAGAACGUCGUGAGACAGUUUGGCCUCUAUCUUCCGUAGUCGUAGGAAUAUUGCGAGAUUCUGCUCCUAGUACGAGAGGACCGGAGUGGACGAACCUCUGGUGUACCUGUUGUCGUGUCAACGGCACUGCAGGGUAGCUAUGUUCGGUUGUGAUAACCGCUGAAAGCAUCUAAGCGGGAAGCCAUUCUCAAGACAAUAUUCCCCAUAGGCCCGAGGGAGACUACCUCGUUGAUAGGCAUCAGGUACAAGCGCAGCAAUGUGUUCAGCCGAGAUGUACUAAUCGGCCAAUUGACUUUUUAUC